rnacentral:rRNA from 1 species
CCCUAUGGGGCGCGCUGCCUCGAAGGCUUCGGACUUCAGGCCUGGGCAGAGUUCGAAGCUAAGCUUCGCGACAAGUCGCGCUUUGGCUCGAAGCUUCAAAAGCUAGAAAAUUUCUAUUUGAGCCGUGCGGCGGAGUGCUCCAUCGAUGGGGCAGGUCGCAUCCUUCUGCCAGCGCACCUAAGAGGGUACGCCGCGCUUGAUAAGGAUGUGACCUUCACUGCUUCUAUUCACGGGUUUCGUAUUUGGGACAGCAGAGUAUGGAAGCACAUCUUCGAAGCAGCGGAGCAGGCCUUGUUAGCAAACCCCGAUGUAUUUUCGGACGUAGACGUUUAAACAGAGUGAUGACGGAAACAUGCCACAUACCUGUAAUGGAGAAAGAGGUGCUUGAAUAUCUGAGAGCAGAUAAGGGCGGCACUUUUCUUGACUGCACGGUUGGCGGCGGGAGGGC